AUGGGGCGCGCUAAGACGAUCGAUGAUGCGGAUCUUCAAGAGGUUCUCUCCUUGCGCGAUGAUUUCGGCGUUCUGCAACAAGAUAACAUCCAGAUGCAGAACCAGGUGUCCAAACUGCAAGAGGGAGUUCAGGUUAUUGGAGCUAAACAAGGGCAGAUUUCAGCAACAGUGGGAACAGUCGAGAAAGUGGUUCUGGACUUGAGGAAGCAGCUAUCUGCUAUCAGUAAUGUUCUGCAAACGCUGGUCAAAUCAUCCCCUACAGAACACCAACAGGACAACCCUUCCAGUUCUGCACCUGUGGUUCGAUCUCCUACACUGCGUCAAGAACAAACAAAAGAGCAGGAAGAAAGAAUAGAGCAAUUGAGGAAACAACUAGCAAUUGAAAAGGAGAAAUCUAAACAGCUAGAGGAGAUACAGCUACAGAACUUACCCCCCAUCAGGACAAACAGAAAUGCAGUUCCUCCAGGUUUUGUUCAACAAGGAAGAACUGAUAAUGCCAGUGCCAUUGGAACUCCAGUUACUGCUAGAGACAGGGCAAACACACCUGCAUUUAAUCAGUACUUUCAACAGAACAGAGACAGGCAAUUAUGGCAAGGUUAUUACAGAACCUAUGAGCAGGAUAUGCAAGCUCAGUUUAUGAAAUCAGUGACUAAGGGUCCUGGGCUGGAUUUUCCUAGAUUUGCUGGGACAGAUCCAGUAGGAUGGAUAAGACAAUGUAAUAAGUAUUUUCAAAUGGCUGGAGCUCCAGAGGAGUACAAAGUAUCACUAGCUCAAAUGUAUAUAGUAGAUGAAGCAGAUGUGUGGCUCAGGAGAUCUGGUCUGCUGAAGAAACAGCUUACUUGGAAACAGUUUGGAGCUGAAGUGAUUAAGAGAUUUUCUGACAAGGGCUCUUAUGACUUGACAGAAAAAUUUAAUUCAGUCAAACAGUUACAUCAUACUGUCACUGAAUAUACAAAAAUCUUUGACGAUUUGAUGGCUGAUGUGCAAGAGGAAAACCCUGAGUUGGGAGAGCUCUGGUUUGUCAGAUGUUAUGUCAAUGGGCUAAGAGAAGGAAUUAAAUUCCAGCUUAGACCUUUCAGGCCACAAACAUUAACAGAUGCUUAUUGCAUGGCCAAGGAUAUAGAACCAAAUCACCCACAUGUAGCAGCUGUUGUUAAGAAACAAGGCACCACCUACAACAACUUCUACCAGAAAUCCAGUGGAACAGUGCAGGCCAAGCACAGUGCUCUGGAACCACAACAGCAAGUUUCUGUCAGACAAGCUGAAACAACAGCUAACACUACACAAAAAAAUCAGAAAAGUGGGAGAGUGCUGGAGGUGUGGAGAUAA
rnacentral:rRNA from 1 species